CCUACGGGGGGCAGCAGUGGGGAAUAUUGCGCAAUGGGCGAAAGCCUGACGCAGCGACGCCGCGUGAGGGAUGAAGGUCUUCGGAUCGUAAACCUCUGUCAGCAGGGAAGAACGGUCACUGUGCUAAUCAGCAGUGAAUUGACGGUACCUGCACAGGAAGCACCGGCUAACUCGGUGCCAGCAGCCGCGGUAAUACGGAGGGCGCGAGCGUUAAUCGGAAUUACUGGGCGUAAAGCGUUCGUAGGCGGUAUUUCAAGUCAAGGGGGAAAUCCCCGGGCUCAACGUGGGAACUGACUUUGAAACUGGCAAACUGGAGUGUGUGAGAGGAAAGUGGAAUUCCAGGUGUAGGAGGGAAAUCCGUAGAUAUCUGGAGGAACAUCAGUGGCGAAGGCGACUAUCUGGCACAUAACUGACGCUGAGGAGCGAAAGCGUGGGUAGCAAACAGGAUUAGAUACCCCAGUAGUC
rnacentral:rRNA from 1 species